rnacentral:rRNA from 1 species
AUUGAACGCUGGCGGCAUGCCUUACACAUGCAAGUCGAACGGCAGCACGGGUGCUUACACCUGGUGGCGAGUGGCGAACGGGUGAGUAAUACAUCGGAACAUGUCCUGUAGUGGGGGAUAGCCCGGCGAAAGCCGGAUUAAUACCGCAUACGAUCUACGGAUGAAAGCGGGGGACCUUCGGGCCUCGCGCUAUAGGGUUGGCCGAUGGCUGAUUAGCUAGUUGGUGGGGUAAAGGCCUACCAAGGCGACGAUCAGUAGCUGGUCUGAGAGGACGACGAGCCACACUGGGACUGAGACACGGCCCAGACUCCUACGGGAGGCAGCAGUGGGGAAUUUUGGACAAUGGGCGAAAGCCUGAUCCAGCAAUGCCGCGUGUGUGAAGAAGGCCUUCGGGUUGUAAAGCACUUUUGUCCGGAAAGAAAUCCUUGGCCCUAAUACGGUCGGGGGAUGACGGUACCGGAAGAAUAAGCACCGGCUAACUACGUG